rnacentral:rRNA from 1 species
GAUGAACGCUGGCGGCGUGCCUAAUACAUGCAAGUCGAGCGAACAGACGAGGAGCUUGCUCCUUCGACGUUAGCGGCGGACGGGUGAGUAACACGUAGGUAACCUACCUAUAAGACUGGGAUAACUUCGGGAAACCGGAGCUAAUACCGGAUAAUAUUUCGAACCGCAUGGUUCGAUAGUGAAAGAUGGCUUUGCUAUCACUUAUAGAUGGAUCUGCGCCGUAUUAGCUAGUUGGUAAGGUAACGGCUUACCAAGGCAACGAUACGUAGCCGACCUGAGAGGGUGAUCGGCCACACUGGAACUGAGACACGGUCCAGACUCCUACGGGAGGCAGCAGUAGGGAAUCUUCCGCAAUGGGCGAAAGCCUGACGGAGCAACGCCGCGUGAGUGAUGAAGGUCUUCGGAUCGUAAAACUCCGUUAUUAGGGAAGAACAAACGUGUAAGUAACUGUGCACGUCUUGACGGUACCUAAUCAGAAAGCCACGGCUAACUACGUG